rnacentral:lncRNA from 1 species
CUGCCGCCCCAACUCCCAAGCGCGGUCGCCGAAGCUCCUGCGUCGACCACCGUCCCCCCAGCUCUCGCGCCGGUCGCCGACGCUGAUCUCACGCCAACCGCCGCCCCAACUCCCGCGCCAGCUGCUGCCCCUGGUGCCACAUCGGUCGGCGCUCUACGCUCGCACGCCGGCAGUCGCACUAGGUCGGUCAUCGUCGCUGCUCCCCGCGCCGGCUGCUAUUUCCAUCGCCUCGCCAGAUCCGCCGCCGGUUAUCGUCGUCUCGGUUGCCGCCUACCACGCGAGAGAGGGAAUGGUGAUGGGUGAUACGAACACCUGCGUGGUCAUCCCAUCCAGGCGGCCGCUGUGCUCCGGGCAACUCUACUGAGUUAUCAUAUCCUCUCAUCAUCCACCAACCAAACACUCCUAAAAAUCAGACCAUCAUGCCCUGUCCACCCAUAUCCCACCAUCUAAACACGUCCUAAGAUUUUUUGCCGACUCAUCCGACGGCUGCCACCGGCCCACCACUAAUCUCCAACGAUUAGUCGCCAGUCUACUCUAACACGUUGAAGUGCAUGCAGCAACAUUGGGACUGAAUGCAUGCAUGCACAAUUUAAUGCUUGAGCAACUCUGAUAGGAUGAAAACGGUAGAAAAACUUCUAUUUCCACUAGUUCACUGCCUGUGCUGACUCUACCGUGAUGAUAUUUAGUAACAAAAUUUUUUUUAAAAAAUGUUG